CAGCCGCCGCGGUAAUACAGAGGGUGCAAGCGUUAAUCGGAUUUACUGGGCGUAAAGGGCGCGUAGGUGGUUAUUUAAGUGAGAUGUGAAAGCCCCGGGCUUAACCUGGGAACUGCAUCUUAUACUGGGUAACUGGAGUGCAGUAGAGGGUAGUGGAAUUUCCGGUGUGGCGGUGAAAUGCGUAGAUAUCGGAAGGAACACCAGUGGCGAAGGCGGCUACCUGGACUGAGACUGACACUGAGGCGCGAGAGCGUGGGGAGCAAACAGGAUUAGAUACCCGGUAGUCCCUGUCUCUUAUACA
rnacentral:rRNA from 1 species